UGGAGUUACAAAGUUCAAGUUGUGGAGAUUGUUCAAGAAAUUUGAGGUGAGAUUGCAAUUUUUGCAAGAUUGUGAAAGAUUGAAAGGUUUUGAAAGAUUGAAAUUUUUGGUAAUUUUUGAUUUUGGGUAAUCAUAAAAUCAAGUUUUCAAACAUUAAAAUUUCAAAUCAAGUUGAAAUUUAGUGGUUUUAGUUGCAAAAAACCAAACAAAAAACAAAAAAC
rnacentral:lncRNA from 1 species